rnacentral:rRNA from 1 species
GCCCACCAAGGCGACGAUCCAUAGCCGACCUGAGAGGGUGACCGGCCACAUUGGGACUGAGACACGGCCCAAACUCCUACGGGAGGCAGCAGUGGGGAAUAUUGCACAAUGGGCGAAAGCCUGAUGCAGCGACGCCGCGUGAGCGAAGAAGUAUUUCGGUAUGUAAAGCUCUAUCAGCAGGGAAGAUAAUGACGGUACCUGACUAAGAAGCACCGGCUAAAUACGUGCCAGCAGCCGCGGUAAUACGUAUGGUGCAAGCGUUAUCCGGAUUUACUGGGUGUAAAGGGAGCGCAGGCGGUGCGGCAAGUCUGAUGUGAAAGCCCGGGGCUCAACCCCGGUACUGCAUUGGAAACUGUCGUACUAGAGUGUCGGAGGGGUAAGCGGAAUUCCUAGUGUAGCGGUGAAAUGCGUAGAUAUUAGGAGGAACACCAGUGGCGAAGGCGGCUUACUGGACGAUAACUGACGCUGAGGCUCGAAAGCGUGGGGAGCAAACAGGAUUAGAUACCCUGGUAGUCCACGCCGUAAACGA